rnacentral:rRNA from 1 species
CUAGCGUUGCUCGGAAUCACUGGGCGUAAAGGGUGCGUAGGCGGGUCCUUAAGUCAGGGGUGAAAUCCUGGAGCUCAACUCCAGAACUGCCUUUGAUACUGAAGAUCUUGAGUUCGGGAGAGGUGAGUGGAACUGCGAGUGUAGAGGUGAAAUUCGUAGAUAUUCGCAAGAACACCAGUGGCGAAGGCGGCUCACUGGCCCGAUACUGACGCUGAGGCACGAAAGCGUGGGGAGCAAACAGG